rnacentral:rRNA from 1 species
CCUACGGGAGGCAGCAGUGGGGAAUAUUGCACAAUGGGGGAAACCCUGAUGCAGCGACGCCGCGUGAGUGAAGAAGUAAUUCGGUAUGUAAAGCUCUAUCAGCAGGGAAGAAAAUGACGGUACCUGAGUAAGAAGCCCCGGCUAACUACGUGCCAGCAGCCGCGGUAAUACGUAGGGGGCAAGCGUUAUCCGGAUUUACUGGGUGUAAAGGGAGCGUAGACGGCAGUGCAAGUCUGGAGUGAAAGGCGGGGGCUCAACCCCCGGACUGCUCUGGAAACUGUACGGCUGGAGUGCAGGAGAGGUAAGUGGAAUUCCUAGUGUAGCGGUGAAAUGCGUAGAUAUUGGGAGGAACACCAGUGGCGAAGGCGGCUUACUGGACUGUAACUGACGUUGAGGCUCGAAAGCGUGGGGAGCAAACAGGAUUAGAUACCCCUGUAGUC